rnacentral:tRNA from 1 species
AAUCAGGAAGCGAAUUUUGCAUUUAGUUUCGACCUAAACUUUGGUGGGCACACCCUUGACUA